rnacentral:lncRNA from 1 species
CGGGAACUGGGUUAACACUGCAUCCGAAAUCACUGCAGCGGCCUAGCGCGCGGCUCGUACCUCGGUAGCUGUGGAUGCGGCGGCCGGUGCCCGGUGGUAAGAUCGGGUAGGGCUGAGGCUCGCCGUCGAAGUUGAGCCACAAAGGCAGCACGACGCGCGGGCUGCGGUUGCAGAAGAUGACCUGAGAGGGCUCGCGCGAGUUCACCGAGCGCAGCACCGGCCGCGGCCGCCCAGCCUCCAUCUCCUCAGGACCGGGCUCCCCCGCCGCCUCCUCUGGACUGGCUGCCUUCCGGGGCAUUAUUGGAACGGGUCCCUCGGAUUCGCAAGCUGGACGUGGGCGGCGCGUGCGUGCGUGCGGAUCUACGCGCUCCGGGACAGGUCUGCCGGUCCCAGACGCGCUCCGGGCAACUUGAAGGCGGAAAUGGCCGCCGGGAGCCCUCAAACUGGGGGGCGGGGCGGCACGGAGC